rnacentral:rRNA from 1 species
AACGAACGCUGGCGGCAUGCCUAACACAUGCAAGUCGAACGGUGACCCUCGGAGCUUGCUUCGGGGUGAACAGUGGCGAACGGGUGAGUAACACGUGAGUAACCUGCCCCUGACUCUGGAAUAAGCGCUGGAAACGGCGUCUAAUACCGGAUAUGACACGCCCUCGCAUGGGGAGCGUGUGGAAAGUUUUUCGGUCUGGGAUGGACUCGCGGCCUAUCAGCUUGUUGGGGAGGGAAUGGCUCACCAGGGCGAUGACGGGUAGCCGGCCUGAGAGGGCGACCGGCCACACUGGGACUGAGACACGGCCCAGACUCCGACGGGAGGCAGCAGUGGGGAAUAUUGCACAAUGGGCGAAAGCCUGAUUCAGCGACGCCGCGUGAGGGAUGACGGCCUUCGGGUUGUAAACCUCUUUCAGCAGGGAAGAAGCGAAAGUGACGGUACCUGCAGAAGAAGCACCGGCUAACUACGUGCCAGCCGCCGCCGUAAAAC